rnacentral:misc_RNA from 1 species
CUGAGAUCAUGCCCUCACGGGUAGACCUCCCACCCUGUUUAAUUACCAUUGUUGCUUUGGCAGGCCCGCCUCCGGGCUCCCGGCUGUGGCUGGGGAGUGCUUGCCAGAGGCCCCUAACCCUAACGUAUACGUGUCGUCUGAGUAACUGUAUAAUAAGUUA